rnacentral:pre_miRNA from 1 species
UGCCCCCUGCUCUGGCUGGUCAAACGGAACCAAGUCCGUCUUCCUGAGAGGUUUGGUCCCCUUCAACCAGCUCCAGCAGGGCUGGCAA